GAACAGAGUGAUUAGAAAGCAGCGUGUAAAAAAGUACAUUGCAGCUAAUCACAUUUCGAACGGUUGGAGAAUAUUAAAGGGUACACUAACAUUUGAACUACUCAUAAUUCCACACACAAAAGAAAAUUUGAUUGCAAAACAUAUUAUGUGCUCCCUCUUAGCAAUACCACGAUCUCCCCAACCAACUGAACAACGGUAGCCACAAUCACUCAGUCGUAUUGGUCAGCUUCUUCUUAGCAG
rnacentral:lncRNA from 1 species